GUCGAGGGGCAGCAUGAUUGAAGCUUGCUUCAAUCGAUGGCGACCGCGCGCACGGGUGAGUAACACGUAUCCAACCUGCCGAUAACUCGGGGAUAGCCUUUCGAAAGAAAGAUUAAUACCCGAUAGCAUAGUAUUUCCGCAUGGUUUCACUAUUAAAGAAUUUCGGUUAUCGAUGGGGAUGCGUUCCAUUAGAUAGUUGGCGGGGUAACGGCCCACCAAGUCAACGAUGGAUAGGGGUUCUGAGAGGAAGGUCCCCCACAUUGGAACUGAGACACGGUCCAAACUCCUACGGGAGGCAGCAGUGAGGAAUAUUGGUCAAUGGACGAGAGUCUGAACCAGCCAAGUAGCGUGAAGGAUGACUGCCCUAUGGGUUGUAAACUUCUUUUAUACGGGAAUAAAGUGGAGUAUGCAUACUCCUUUGUAUGUACCGUAUGAAUAAGGAUCGGCUAACUCCGUGCCAGCAGCCGCGGUAAUACGGAGGAUCCGAGCGUUAUCCGGAUUUAUUGGGUUUAAAGGGAGCGUAGGCGGGUGCUUAAGUCAGUUGUGAAAGUUUGCGGCUCAACCGUAAAAUUGCAGUUGAUACUGGGCGCCUUGAGUGCAGCAUAGGUAGGCGGAAUUCGUGGUGUAGCGGUGAAAUGCUUAGAUAUCACGAAGAACUCCGAUUGCGAAGGCAGCUUACUGGACUGUAACUGACGCUGAUGCUCGAAAGUGUGGGUAUCAAGCAGGAUUAGAUACCCUGGUAGUCCACACAGUAAACGAUGAAUACUCGCUGUUGGCGAUACACAGUCAGCGGCCAAGCGAAAGCAUUAAGUAUUCCACCUGGGGAGUACGCCGGCAACGGUGAAACUCAAAGGAAUUGACGGGGGCCCGCACAAG
rnacentral:rRNA from 1 species